UAAAGAUGCCAAUGGUGGAGUCACGAACCGGGUCAGGAUCGGGAGAUAGCAGCUCUAAGUGACGAAGCCAUGUGGUAUUUUUUUAU
rnacentral:SRP_RNA from 2 species